AUUGAACGCUGGCGGCAUGCCUUACACAUGCAAGUCGAACGGCAGCACGGACUUCGGUCUGGUGGCGAGUGGCGAACGGGUGAGUAAUACAUCGGAACGUGCCCAGUUGUGGGGGAUAACUACUCGAAAGAGUAGCUAAUACCGCAUGAGAACUGAGAGUGAAAGCAGGGGAUCGUAAGACCUUGCGCAACUGGAGCGGCCGAUGGCAGAUUAGGUAGUUGGUGGGAUAAAAGCUUACCAAGCCGACGAUCUGUAGCUGGUCUGAGAGGACGACCAGCCACACUGGGACUGAGACACGGCCCAGACUCCUACGGGAGGCAGCAGUGGGGAAUUUUGGACAAUGGGCGAAAGCCUGAUCCAGCAAUGCCGCGUGCAGGAUGAAGGCCUUCGGGUUGUAAACUGCUUUUGUACGGAACGAAAAGCUUCGGGUUAAUACCCUGGAGUCAUGACGGUACCGUAAGAAUAAGCACCGGCUAACUACGUGCCAGCCGCCGCAGUAA
rnacentral:rRNA from 1 species